rnacentral:tRNA from 1 species
GCGGGUAUGGUCUAGUGGCAGAAUGCGGCCUUCCCAAGGCUGAGACGCGAGUUCGAUUCUCGCUACCCGCA